rnacentral:rRNA from 1 species
CAGCAGCCGCGGUAAUACGUAGGGUGCGAGCGUUGCCCGGAUUUAUUGGGCGUAAAGGGCGCGUAGGCGGUCACGCACGUCCGUUGUGAAAUCGCUCGGCUCAACUGGGCGGGGUCAGCGGAUACGGCGUGGCUGGAGCAAGCUAGGGGGCAAUGGAAUUCCCGGUGUAGUGGUGGAAUGCGUAGAUAUCGGGAGGAACACCAGUGGCGAAGGCGGUUGCCUGGAGCUUUGCUGACGCUGAUGCGCGAAAGCGUGGGGAGCGAUCCGGAUUAGAUACCCGGGUAGUCCACGCCGUAAACGAUGCGGACUAGGUGUCGGGGGUAUCGACCCCCUCGGCGCCGCAGCUAACGCAUUAAGUCCGCCGCCUGGGGACUACGGCCGCAAGGCUAAAACUCAAAGGAAUUGACGG